CUCCCCGCGUUUUUCUCUCUCUCUCCUCGUCGCUCUGCAACUUCGGCCACUUUCCUUUUCCGGCCACCUGGCAGUGCAUGGCGGGUACCGGCGGACUCGUCUCCGCUCCCUCUAGGCGCCUGUGGUGGUGUUUUGCGGUGGCUCGGCCCGAGGAGCUUGGAUUUGAGCCGUGAAGUUCACUGUAGCAAUUUGGAGUUUCGUCGAUUUCCGGCGAUUCCGGCCGUCUCCGGCCACCAAACCGGCGUCGAAGGUUCGGUUUUUGCCAAGGAUCAUUUUCCCCCUAGCCUUGAGCCAUGAUUUGCAGUGUAGAGGAAGAAUCGACGAUUGGAAGAUUACGGUCACUAUUCACAAUUUGAGUUCAAGCUUCUCCUUAAUUGUUGAGGGCAAUGUUGCGAGCUACGGCUAGAUGAAGGGACUCGUUUGCGUGGUCGCCAACUAGUACUUUUGCAGGCGCUAUUAGUUGAGGUCGGGCGUACAUGGAUCGAGGCAUAGUUGACGAAUAGCUUCCGCACUUCUUUGUUUGGCUCUGAUCUAUUGUUGGUUACUAUUUUGGGUAGUCCACUUUAGGGGUGACUCGACCAAUUCUCGGUAGAGUUAUCUCUAAGGUGGGCCCCGCAGGGCCACCUCGGAUUUCAGGGUGAAAUUCGGGGCGGGUCCUGUCAAUCUAUAUCACUCUCCCUGUUGAAAAAGUCUCAUCUUUCUCUUCUGGGUUCCUCAAUUCAUAUAUAAUUUCCUUGUGCCUUGUUUCUUUUUAUGUAUAUGUGUAUUGGUUAUUUUUAAUUGGCUUAUUGGGUAGGUGAGUUUAGCUCCCUUGAUCAUUUGUGAGAAUUUCAGAUAUGUUGUAGUUUUGUGUAAUUGUUGCUAUGGGAUUUAUGAUAUUGGUGGAUUAUAUGUUUGUGGUUUCGUAUAAUAAGAGUGACGAUUUGGGAAGACCUCAAUUUUGAAUUUAUUUUGGAUGCCUAGGAUGAUUUAUUGAUACCUUUGGCGUAAACCUGGAAGAACUCAAUUAGUAGUUGUAGAAGUAUGUUUCUAAUUUUUUUAGAAUAUCAACUAUGCUUUGGAUAUUAUCUGUUGAGUUCUUGUUGAGUUUACCCUUCCAUAUAUUCUUUAAAUAUAACUAAUCCAAUCUUAAACUGUUCAGCCAUUAGAGGAGCUUCUUUAUCGAAGUCAAGAUCUUGUUACAUCUAUGAAUCUCAAGGAACUUCGGAAUUUUGAACACUAUAAUCAAUGAUAUGUUGAUCGUGAACAAUUGUCAAGUUGUCAUGUCAUAACUGUAGGUCUUCUUUAGGAACCAAAGCAAAAGUUACAUGGAAAUCACCAUUCUUAUUAAUUAACUCAGCAAGUCAGCAUCAUAGUAACCCUUUUCACUAUAAAGGGUUUCCAUGCUAUUGUUCAGAUGUGGAAGUUGACCCUACAGAUGUAAGGGUCUUGAUGUUGCCUGGUAAGUUCUAUCUACAGUCAUUUGUGACAUCACUUCAUAAACUUGGACUCAUUCUAAUGUGUUAAAACUGAUGGACCAGGAAAAUGAAAGCUGAAAAACAGGGAUACUAUACCCUGAUGAGAAUGCUAUCACUAAUGCAAUGGAUAUUUUCCAAAACCCAACAUAAGUUCCCCUCCAGAAAGUGUUGCAGGCUGCUCGACUUGACUUAAUUUGACUGAAUGCUCUCUGUAUAGUGGCUCAAUGAGGGUAAUAUCGCAAGUAAUGAUGCUCAAGUUAGAGUUUUGACAUCGAAAAGUUCACUUGCCUGAAUCGCUUCUCCUUUGAGUGCCAUUGGUCUGUAAAUAACACCUCUGUUCUGAAGUAAGGUUAUUCUUUACCAUUUCGCUCAAUGUUGGCUUUGUUGUUUAUUGGCAGAACACCUCUGUUAGUCCCGAUGGUAAGCUGCUCACAGUACUUGGUGAUAGUGCAAACUGUUUGAUAGAUGAUGUUCAGUAUGGAAAAGUUUGUCGCAUUACUAUUUCUAUGAAACUGGUAUAGCAAUACAACUAGCUAGUUCUUUUAUUGACUUGUCUCUAUUAGAAAUUCUUCCUUCAUUGAGCAUUUGAACUUGUCUGCAGAUCCAGAUUAGUAGAUAUGGGCCAUUUUGAAUUGAUGCUCAUGAUUAGGUUUGUGUAUAUGAGACAAUGGUGGAUUAAUGGAAAUUGCAAUGAAUGAUUUUGGAUGUGGA